AGGAUGAACGCUAGCGGCAGGCUUAAUACAUGCAAGUCGUGGGGCAGCAUGAGUAGCAAUACUUGAUGGCGACCGGCAAACGGGUGAGGAACACGUACACAACCUUCCUUCAAGCGGGGAAUAGCCCAGAGAAAUUUGGAUUAAUACCCCAUAAUAUAUUUGAUAAGGCAUCUUUUUAAUAUUAAAGCUUCGGCACUUGAUGAUGGGUGUGCGGCUGAUUAGAUAGUUGGCGGGGUAACGGCCCACCAAGUCUACGAUCAGUAGCUGAUGUGAGAGCAUGAUCAGCCACACGGGCACUGAGACACGGGCCCGACUCCUACGGGAGGCAGCAGUAAGGAAUAUUGGACAAUGGACGAAAGUCUGAUCCAGCCAUGCCGCGUGAAGGAUUAAGGUCCUCUGGAUUGUAAACUUCUUUUAUAUGGGACGAAAAAAGGGCAUUCUUGUUCACUUGACGGUACCAUAUGAAUAAGCACCGGCUAACUCCGUG
rnacentral:rRNA from 1 species